rnacentral:misc_RNA from 1 species
GUUGAAAUGGAACCGAUGUUCGGAUGCACAGUGCUCAAAGAGCGCGUUACUGGAAUCGUAAGUAGAGUCGCAGAACAAACAGAGUAAUUUUGAGCUCAUAGCCUCCUCUUCAUCUUCUUCGUCUCCGUUUUCCCAAUCGUCCCAAUUCUGGUCCUUAUCGUCGUCUGAGUUAUCAUCUUCUACUUCCAUAUAUACGGUGUUCAAUUCCUCCAUCGCCAUUGAAAUUUAGCAGAAAUUACAAGCUCGGAAUGGUAAUGGUUCG